rnacentral:rRNA from 1 species
UACAGAGGUCUCAAGCGUUGUUCGGAUUCAUUGGGCGUAAAGAGCUCGUAGGCGGUCUGUUGCGUCCGCUGUGAAAACUCGGGGCUUAACCCCGAGCCUGCAGUGGAUACGGGCAGACUAGAGGUAGGUAGGGGAGAAUGGAAUUCCGGUGUAGCGGUGAAAUGCGCAGAUAUCGGGAGGAACACCGGUGGCGAAGGCGGUUCUCUGGGCCUUACCUGACGCUGAAGGAGCGAAAGCGUGGGGAGC